rnacentral:rRNA from 1 species
UACAUGUGGGGCAAGCGUUGUUCGGAAUUACUGGGCAUAAAGAGUGCGUAGGCGGUUUGUUAAGUCACUGGUGAAAGUUUUCGGCCCAACCGGAAAAUUGCCUGUGAUACUGGCGAACUUGAGUGCGUGAGGGGUGGGGGGAACGAGCAGUGUAGCGGUGAAAUGCGUAGAUAUUGCUCGGAAGGCCGGAGCCGAAGGGGCCCCACUGGUACGUAACUGACGCUGAGGCACGAAAGCGUGGGGAGCAAACAGG